CAUCGUGAGAUGGAAUCUGGAGGAAGGUCGAGGCAAAUCUCUGGUCUGACGAACAGAAAUCACAUAAGGCUAGUCAUGGGGAUAAGGCCGCCAAACAGGAUGAAGUCCUAUAGCUACACGGAAGAAACAGUGGAAGA
rnacentral:ncRNA from 1 species